AACGUAGGACGCAAGCGUUAUCCGGAAUUACUGGGCGUAAAGCGCGGGCAGGCGGUCUUGCCAGUCUGAUGUGAAAUCUCUCCGCUCAACGGGGAGCAGCCAUUGGAAACUACAAGACUGGAGUCUGACAGAGGUAGGCGGAAUUCCGGGUGGAGUGGUGAAAUGCGUAGAGAUCCGGAGGAAUACCGGUGGCGAAAGCGACUCUCUGGACGGCAACUGACGCUGAGGCACGAAAGCGUGGGGAGCAAACAGG
rnacentral:rRNA from 1 species